GAGGGCAUUGCUCUGCGGUAGAGUGCACGUCUAGCAUACCCGAGGUCCUGGGUUCAAUGCCCAGUACCUCCA
rnacentral:tRNA from 1 species